rnacentral:rRNA from 1 species
CAAUAGCGUAUAUUAAAGCUGUUGCGGUUAAAAAGCUCGUAGUUGGAUUUCUGUCAAGGACAACUGGUCCGCCCUCCGGGUGAGCACAUAGUUUGGUCUUGGCAUCUUGCUGGAAACUGUUGCUGCGCUUGGUUGUGUGGUGCAGCUUUCAGCACUUUCACUUUGAGGAAAUUGGAGUGUUUCAAGCAGGCACAUGCCUUUGGACACAGUAGCAUGGAAUAAUUAGAUUGGGCUUUUGCUCCAACUUGUUGGUUCCUGGAGCUGAGGUGAGAAUCAAUGGGGAUUGUUGGGGGCAUCCGAAUUUAGCCGUCAGUGGUGAAAUUCUUGGAUCUGCUAAAGACGGACAACUGCGAAAGCGUUUGCCCAGGAUGUUUUCAUUGA